CUAGGAUGAAAUUUGAAAAAAAUAGGCAGGACAGGAGUUUUGAGUAAAAAAAAAGGCAGGAUGAGACACUUUGCAAAAAAAAAGGCAGGAGACAAUUUAGGUAAAAAAAGUCAGGAUAAACUAAUAAAAAAAAAGGCAGGACCGAAUAGAGUGAAAAAUAAAAAGGUAGGACAGAGAUUACAACUAAAAAAAAUGCAGGACAAAAUUUUUCAUCCUAGCCCCC
rnacentral:lncRNA from 1 species